GCACGUACCAAGUGACUCAUUCUUCACAGCCAAAACAUCUAUUUUACUAUUCCGUACAAGGAAAUUCCGAUAUAAAAUAUAACACUUGAGAGAAAAAAAUAAAUAAAUAAAAGAAAUAUAUCAAAUCAGCAAAAAGAAAAGAGCCAUAACACUCCCCCUUUUCUGAUGACCCCUCUUCUCCCGAACAUUUUGCACCGACCCGGCCCAAUCCUCCUCCCGCUGCUGCCGACCGCAACACCUGCGGGUUAAAUCCCCGGAGGAGAAGAGACGCUGGAGGUCGAGGAGUGUUCAGCUGCCGACACUUCCAAAGGGGAGAAUUCCUUGUUGAUUAUAGAGGAGAAGUCCUAACUAAAACAAGAAUAUGAAAGAAGGCACAGAGUGUACCAUGACAAGCUUCAAGUUUUUGUGUUGGAACUUUGUUUCAAUGGAAAAUAGUUACGGGGACUCCCGACAUAGAACAACAAUCAAAUGGUUCAGCCAGCUGUGUAGCAGAUGAUGAGGCAGAGAAGUAUCACCUGUAUGACAAAGUUCUGUCCUUGUGCAACGCUUCCCUCGCAACCGGUCAAAGGCCAGUCAACCGUCAGCCGGUCCAUCGUCAGGCUGGUCGGCCCCAUAGCCAGCAGGGUUUUGAGCCCCUUAUAUGCAGAGUCUGUGGUUCCAUGUCAUGCACGCUCAGUGAGGAGGCAGAGUCCAAGCUCAUGGCCGCUGAUGUCCUCCCAUGUCCUCAGCUUGUGCCUGAGAAGGUGGUCCUUGUUGGCUGUGGUGGCCUUACAACACAACCCAGAUGUAUCUAUGAGCUGGACAUUGAGAUUUAUGGGUCCAAAUUCUGCUUGGAACACACAUUCAUGUUGCCCUCAGGAUGAAUUGUAACUACUAUGGUGAUCCCUUAAUUUUCCACAUUGUGUCAUCGUCAGGUCAAAAUUUGAAAUAAACCAACAUUCCCAUCAGC